rnacentral:rRNA from 1 species
CCUACGGGUGGCAGCAGUGAGGAAUAUUGGUCAAUGGACGAGAGUCUGAACCAGCCAAGUAGCGUGAAGGAUGACUGUCCUAUGGGUUGUAAACUUCUUUUAUAUGGGAAUAAAAUGUUCCACGUGUGGGUUUUUGUAUGUACCAUAUGAAUAAGGAUCGGCUAACUCCGUGCCAGCAGCCGCGGUAAUACGGAGGAUCCGAGCGUUAUCCGGAUUUAUUGGGUUUAAAGGGAGCGUAGGUGGAUUGUUAAGUCAGUUGUGAAAGUUUGCGGCUCAACCCUAAAAUUGCAGUUGAAACUGGCAGUCUUGAGUACAGUAGAGGUGGGCGGAAUUCGUGGUGUAGCGGUGAAAUGCUUAGAUAUCACGAAGAACUCCGAUUGCGAAGGCAGCUCACUGGACUGCAACUGACGCUGAGGCUCGAAAGUGUGGGUAUCAAACAGGAUUAGAUACCCCAGUAGUC